rnacentral:rRNA from 1 species
GAUGAACGCUGGCGGCGUGCCUAAUACAUGCAAGUCGAGCGAAUGGAUUAAGAGCUUGCUCUUAUGAAGUUAGCGGCGGACGGGUGAGUAACACGUGGGUAACCUGCCCAUAAGACUGGGAUAACUCCGGGAAACCCGGGCUAAUACCGGCUAACAUUUUGAACCGCAUGGUUCGAAAUUGAAAGGCGGCUUCGGCUGUCACUUAUGGAUGGACCCGCGUCGCAUUAGCUAGUUGGUGAGGUAACGGCUCACAAAGGCAACGACGCGUAGCCGACCUGAGAGGGUGAUCGGCCACACUGGGACUGAGACACGGCCCAGACUCCUACGGGAGGCAGCAGUAGGGAAUCUUCCGCAAUGGACGAAAGUCCGACGGAGCAACGCCGCGUGAGUGAUGAAGGCUUUCGGGUCGUAAAACUCUGUUGUUAGGGAAGAACAGGUGCUAGUUGAAUAAGCUGGCACCUUGACGGUACCUAACCAGAAAGCCACGGCUAACUACGUGCCAGCCGCCGCGGUAA